GGUGCUGCACACCCACACAGGCGCCUGCAUCUUACCCCCAUUCACUGCCCAAACAUACACGCACAGAGAGCACGGCUGGUGAACGGUUCACACACUUCUCCGCUUCGCGACGCUGUUGUCUUGCCGACGGGUUCCUUUUCUUUCCUGCCGGGUUUUCGCCUUCUCGUGUGCCGGCCGCCCCCUCUCGCCAUCUUCUAUCUUUAUUGGCGUGUAGUGACGUGCAUUGUGAUCUUGUGUCUGACUUUCUCUUUCCACCAGCGUCGUGAUCGCGUCCUUUGAUUCGAAGCCUUCCCUGCCACGCACCCCGUCCCCAUUUCCUUUCCUCGGCGUGACUGGCUCUCUCCUCCGGCUGUUGCGUAGCCAUGGUAGACUGUGCUAGCGACCGACAGUACCAGGCGCGGUGCGCCUACGGCAACCCCGAGAAAUCGAUCGAGAUUCACGGCGCCAAGAUGGAGACAUUCAACGUGGAUAUCCGCAAGAACGGCGCCAUGCGCAAUCGAGCCAUGGUGCUCUCCGGCCUCGCGGGUCUGUGCACGGCAGCAGGGACCGUUGCCGUGGCUGUGGGCGCGCCACAGUUGCUGGGUCGUCUGCGCGGCGUGCGAGACGCGCCGUGCAUGAUUCUGUGGACAGUGGCUGGCGGCUUGUGCUUGGCGUACGUGUCCACUAGCUCCUUCUCCUUUGAGCGAGCCAUCUACGACCUAGAAUUUCGGCGUGAGAUGUGGGAAAUUGAGAAUCACCUGUCCGGCGAGGUGCAGGAGAUGCUGUCCAUCUACAAGAGUCAGGGGCUGACGGAGGAAGAGGCACUCAUUGUUACCCGUAUCUUUGCGCGACAGAAGACGGUGUUCGCCAACUUGAUGAUGGUCGAGGAGCUUGGCUACUCCCGACUAGAGCCGCCUACGACAAGCGAGGCGGUCACAAACGUCGGCGUACCCGCCGUAAUGGGCUUCGUGAUCGGCGUCGCGACACCGCUGCUGUGCUUGGCGGCUGCACUACGCGCAAGUUCCUGCGGCCAGGGCAGCAUGAGUGCUGGUGGCGGCGGCGUGGUCUGUGGCCCGUCUGCGGUAACAACGCAAGCAAAAUUGUUGGGUGCGGGCAUCUUUUGCAUGUGUACCGCAGUGCUGAGCUACGUGCAGACGGAAGUCUUUUUCGGCGCCUACGCACAUGCGCCAGUGCUACUUCGCACCACCGUGUCCAACGCCGCCGGCAUCGGUUCCGUGUUCGGCCUCAGCUAUGUAGCAGCGCGUUGGGCGUGAGAAAGAAACAGACAUGUGCUUCCCGUGCGAUGGCGCAACUCGCGACUUGGCAGAUAGAGAUGGUAGCAACGGAAGACGCAGUGAGCGACUGUGAAAGUGAUGUCCAACACGCGUUGAAACAACGGGCACGGACAAAACCAAUUACUGGACGCGAGGAAAGACGGCGACUGCGAUGGAGCCAGUGCGCUGUAUGGACUGUGCGGACUGCUUUGAUGUGCGCUACCGCUGUGACACAGCAGCGCGUGAAAAGAGGAUCAGAGUAGCGAGGGCGGGAGAUCGGUCUACAAAAAGCAAGUACGUGUGAAAAAAGGUACACAGCGCACCGUUUUAAGCGUGGCCGAGGGCAUACGACCCCGCCUUCCUUUCUUUUUCCCUCCUGAGGUAUCCUUGGGCGGGCGCGCGAUCCGCUAUGGUGCUUCUCCGUGCACAAGCCCCAAGAUACGGACUGCAUGCGCGCUGUAUGCUGCCGUUCUUUACUGAGUGGGGCGCUCUUUCUCUUUGUGUCUGUGUGUGCGUACGAGUGGGCAAG
rnacentral:misc_RNA from 1 species